rnacentral:lncRNA from 1 species
AUCGCGUCACCUUUACAGGCGAGGUGAGGAUAAAACACUAACUCACUAUCAAAGAUAAGGUUAGACACUGUGCCUACCUACCUAGACUGACAUGCCAGCCCAUUGUCUGCAGACAGCAGCCCAUCUGCUUACCUGCGGUUCAUAUGGAACCUCUUCCUGCAUUGCAAGCUAAAGCUAAAGAAGCGUUUCUGGCCACGACUGAAUUUUAAGAAUGCGUCGUGACGUCAUGGCUCAGCUCCUCGUCGUCGUCGGCCCGCGUGCUGCCCGAUCGCGUUACUGUUCGUCCAUGCUCUGAAGCAAUAAUGGCCAGUGCAGCAGAUGGAUAAGUCAACGACCGGCGUCAUUUGGGCAUCUCCCGCAAAUUUCUACUCGCAUUCAGUCCACGCACACGAACGCGGAAUACUGGCGUCCACGCACACGCACAUGAACAAAUGUUCGAAUCAACAUGACGGAAUCCAUGUAAGCCGGACGAAUUUUCAUAUAAAGUUAUAACCACGAGGGAUUUCAUUUAAACUAAGGUAAUUUGUACAUAAUACCAGACAAUAUUUCG